rnacentral:rRNA from 1 species
AUGGCGGAGUUCGCGCUUGGUCUGACCAAGACGGCGGUGGAGGGGACGGUGAGCAGGGUGAAGUCAGCCAUCGAUGAGGAGGCGAAGCUGCGGAUUCGAGUGCAGAAUGAUUUGGUGUUCAUCACUGGCGAGUUCGAAAUGAUGCAAUCAUUUCUCAACGCUGCCAACAAGGAACGGGCAAACACCCAAGUGGUGAGGACCUGGGUGAGGCACGUCCGUGACCUGGCCUUGGAUGUGGAGGAUUGCCUCGAGUUUGUUGUCCACCUCGACAACAAGUCAACCUGGUCCUGGUUGUGGCGCGUGCUGCCGGACUGCAUGGCACCGGUGCGGCCUCUGGAUGUGGCGGUCGCGGAUAUUCAGCGGCUCAAGGCGAGGGUGGAGGAUGUAAGCCAGAGGAACACCCGCUACAACCUCAUUGGUGACUCUGGCUCCCACUCCAACUCAAAGCCUACAGUAGUUACUACUGUCUCAUCUUUGACGACGGAGCUUAUGCCUGAUUCUGGCCCAGCAGCGGCAUUCCGCAUCCUGCACAAGGUGUGGGAGGCCACAGAUAAGAUACGGCCUGAUAUGGGUGACCUCAGGAAGUUGAUCACCAAUGAAGGUAGUGACCUUGAGGUUAUCUCUGUAUGUGGAAGCCCAGGAGCAUCUGAUCUUGGGGUGACACACGUCCUCAGGGAGGCUUACAAUGACCCAAAAAUCUGCCAAGAAUUCACAAGCCGAGCCUGGGUAAAGCUGACGCAUCCUUUUAACCUCAAUGAGUUCAUCAAAAUCUUGCUCACUCAAUUCUAUGCUAGCUCUAACCGAGCAAGUGUAGGAGUAGCAGGCUUCCGAAAAAAUAUGAAAGAAGCGGUGGCCAAGGAAGAUGAGCUCAUGCAGCAAGUGAGCCAGCUGAGGUAUCUCGUUAUCGUGGAACAACUAUCCUCUGUGGUAGAGUGGGAUGCCAUCAGAAUGUACCUACCGGAAAGUAAAAACGGCAGCCGGAUUGUCGUGACGACAAAGCAGUUGGGUCUUGCUUUCUCGUGCACGGGGAAUCCCUAUCAAGUAUCGAACCUCAGACAACUCUCCGGUGGCCAAUCUCUUUGUGCCUUCUUCAACAAGGUCUCUGAACAUCGUAGUGACAUGGGUGAACUCAUUUGGCAAUUAAGACAUGUUGUUGGUGUGAUCUCUGUGCAGAAGCAUCCUGAUCUAAGGUCAUCAACUCUUAUUGAUAAGGCGUACACAGGCGUAACAAAUAAGUCAAAAGAAUUUGAGGAAGUUAAAUUUGAACGACACAGCUGGGUCGAUGUACCUUAUUCCUUUAGUUUGGGUGUCUUUGCUCGGCAUUUAUUUUUGAAUUUUCAUUCAAAUGAUCUUCGAGCCAAGAAAAUUAUAGCAGCUGGUACAAUGGGAGACACAGGCGUCAUUCAAGGGUGUCAUAAGUUUCUCAGGGAAGACAGGUGCCUCGUGGUUAUUAAUGGUCUGGACUCGACAGAUAGUUGGGACCAAAUAAAAGCUGCCUUUUUAUCAGAGCCUACUAAGAGUUGUAUCCUUGUCAUUACAAAGGAAGCAAGUGUGGCCAGAUACUGUGUAGGCGAAACUGAUCGUCCAGCGCUCAACACCAAAGAUUUGGAAGCCGACGUGGUACUUCGUCGCUCAAUGAAGGGUUGUGAGUAUAAUGGACUUGGAGCCAAGGAGGCCUCUAGCAGGGGCCGAUUUUUCUGCAACAGAAGGGAAGAAGCGCAUGUCUGGACUAGUAAAUUUAAACUUAUUGUAGAUCCACAUAAUGUGUAUUACCCACGCCUCCGGCAUUGUUUACAACAACAUGGUACAAUUUCCUUGUGUGGGGACGAAGCUUGGAGAUCGGCUCUUGCCAGGAAAAUUUACUACAACCAAAUGCUUAUUGCACAUGAAGAUGGUAUACCACCCACUGUACGGGUAAAAGAUGGAAAGAAAUUGGAUUCCGGAUUUACAAAGUUCAGUUGGGUUGAUGUACCACACCCGUUCGAUUUGAUGGACUUCUCUUGGCGCUUAUCUUUGGAUUUUCACUCAGAUGAUCUCAAAGCAAAGCAAAAUGCGAUUUUCGGUCUGAUGGAAGGGCGCCAUGACCCAAUUGAAGAGUGCCUUAAUUUUCUUCGACACGACAAGUGUUUGGUUGUUAUUGACGGUCUACAGUCGGAAAAUGAUUGGAACCUCAUAAGAGAUGUAUUAUUCUCCGAGCCUACGAAUGGAUGUAUAAUUGUCAGUACGGGCGAAGAAAGUGUUGCAACACACUGUGUACAUCAUGAAAAUCGAGUGUUCCUUGACAAUGGUCGAGCAGCCGACCUUGCAGCCCAUGUUCAGUCCAGAAAGAAACAGAAAGCUUGCGUCGGCGGCGGCUCUCUUAUUCCAGACAGGCGGGGCGGCGACGGUUCCCCAACGGCGAAAUGUCGACGGACGCACUGGAGCUCAGCGGGAAUUGUGGUGUGUUCCCGAUGGAGUCCCAAGAUUCCAUGA